rnacentral:rRNA from 1 species
CAAUAGCGUAUAUUAAAGUUGUUGCAGUUAAAAAGCUCGUAGUUGGAUUUCUGGUGGGAGCGAUCGGUCUGGCGCUUAGCGCGAGUACUUGCAUCGUCUCCGGCCAUCCUUGGGGAGAGUCUGUCUGGCAUUAGGUUGUCGGGCAGAGGAUCCUCAUCGUUUACUGUGAAAAAAUUAGAGUGUUCAAAGCAGGCUUAUGCCGUUGAAUAUAUUAGCAUGGAAUAAUAAGAUAGGACUUUGGUACUAUUUUGUUGGUUUGCGCACCAAAGUAAUGAUUAAUAGGGACAGUUGGGGGUAUUCGUAUUCCGUUGUCAGAGGUGAAAUUCUUGGAUUUACGGAAGACGAACAACUGCGAAAGCAUUUACCAAGGAUGUUUUCAUUAA